GGAGUUGGGAAAUGGGCCAUUUCAGGCCUUUGGAGAGCCUCCGAGGGAGUGGGAAAGGUUGUUUUCACCCUUCCCAGAUAAAUAGAGAGGAUCUGGAGCCAGGUUUCAAAGGCAUAAUUUCAAAGGCAACCCCAUGCAGAGCUCAUCGUUAGUGCUACAAUCAACAGGUUGUUCUCACUUUGAGCAUGCCACCAGGCUACAAAGAUGGAGGUAAAUCUGUUCAACAGUUAAGAAGAUGUGUCUACGUCAAAGGCAAAGCUUUUGAAACUAAUACCACAUGUUUGGUCUAUUGUAUAUGUAAAAAGGUUCAGUGUAAAAGUUUUACAAUUUUCUCCAGUUCUGUGACCUUGCACGGAAUGUCAUCCAGCAAAGGAUAUUUUCUAGAAGCUGUAUUAAAAAACGAAACAAAACAAAAAUGAGGCAAUACAAAUAACAAACUCACAUGUGACUCCAAAUAGCUAUCACUACUGUGGAUUUUGUGUGGCUUGCUUGAAAACAUUUUCUCCCAUAAAAUUUAUACUGUGCCUUUGA